GUCAAAACUCUUGACAUCAAAAUAUGAAACUUAACGAUCGACAAAAACCAGAGAUAUGUAGGCAACUUAAAACACAUCACGACGUGCAAGAUGAAACCUUGCGCGUAGCUAUAAAAAUGGUGAGUUUACGCGGUUAAAAGAGUCUUGAACAUUUUCUCUCCAAUUCCAUCAAUCAUUGGAAUCAAAUGACCAGCACCUGGAAUUUCAUGAUAUUGGAUCCAUGGUAAUUGCUGUGAAAUGUACCUUUGUAGUGUGACGGGCGAGAGCCUAUCCUCAUCGCCUUGCCAUAAGUGAACGGAACCUUCAUUGUUAGGGAACGGGUUCUCAAGAUCCAUUGGAUCGAAUUCCCAUGUUCCAAAUCCAAUCAUUAAGUCGCGGUGGAGGGAUUCAUAUUCUCCUUGUUGUCUUACCUGUGCACGAUAGUCUUGGCUCGAACUUUGCUUGGAAACUAGCUCUAGGUCCUUUGAAGAGAAAAUUGCAGGGUUGCGACCUGCAGCACUGCAUGAAGGAAAGAACUUCUGAGUGUUCCACCAAUAAGUGAGCCACGGAAGGUAAUGAGCAACACGAAGAGUCCAUUUGUCUUGAGGAAGUCGAAGGUUGAAUGCUUCUUGGGACAUAUUAACAGGAAACCUAGGCCACCAAUAGUUGACAACUGGUGCAAUAAGAGCAGCACCUGCCAACCUGUGAGG
rnacentral:misc_RNA from 1 species